UUAAGCGACUAAGCGUACACGGUGGAUGCCCUGGCAGUCAGAGGCGAUGAAGGACGUGCUAAUCUGCGAUAAGCGUCGGUAAGGUGAUAUGAACCGUUAUAACCGGCGAUUUCCGAAUGGGGAAACCCAGUGUGAUUCGUCACACUAUCAUUAACUGAAUCCAUAGGUUAAUGAGGCGAACCGGGGGAACUGAAACAUCUAAGUACCCCGAGGAAAAGAAAUCAACCGAGAUUCCCCCAGUAGCGGCGAGCGAACGGGGAGCAGCCCAGAGCCUGAAUCAGUGUGUGUGUUAGUGGAAGCGUCUGGAAAGGCGCGCGAUACAGGGUGACAGCCCCGUACACAAAAAUGCACAUGCUGUGAGCUCGAUGAGUAGGGCGGGACACGUGGUAUCCUGUCUGAAUAUGGGGGGGACCAUCCUCCAAGGCUAAAUACUCCUGACUGACCGAUAGUGAACCAGUACCGUGAGGGAAAGGCGAAAAGAACCCCGGCGAGGGGAGUGAAAAAGAACCUGAAACCGUGUACGUACAAGCAGUGGGAGCCUCUUUUAUGGGGUGACUGCGUACCUUUUGUAUAAUGGGUCAGCGACUUAUAUUCUGUAGCAAGGUUAACCGAAUAGGGGAGCCGAAGGGAAACCGAGUCUUAACUGGGCGUUAAGUUGCAGGGUAUAGACCCGAAACCCGGUGAUCUAGCCAUGGGCAGGUUGAAGGUUGGGUAACACUAACUGGAGGACCGAACCGACUAAUGUUGAAAAAUUAGCGGAUGACUUGUGGCUGGGGGUGAAAGGCCAAUCAAACCGGGAGAUAGCUGGUUCUCCCCGAAAGCUAUUUAGGUAGCGCCUCGUGAAUUCAUCUCCGGGGGUAGAGCACUGUUUCGGCAAGGGGGUCAUCCCGACUUACCAACCCGAUGCAAACUGCGAAUACCGGAGAAUGUUAUCACGGGAGACACACGGCGGGUGCUAACGUCCGUCGUGAAGAGGGAAACAACCCAGACCGCCAGCUAAGGUCCCAAAGUCAUGGUUAAGUGGGAAACGAUGUGGGAAGGCCCAGACAGCCAGGAUGUUGGCUUAGAAGCAGCCAUCAUUUAAAGAAAGCGUAAUAGCUCACUGGUCGAGUCGGCCUGCGCGGAAGAUGUAACGGGGCUAAACCAUGCACCGAAGCUGCGGCAGCGACGCUUAUGCGUUGUUGGGUAGGGGAGCGUUCUGUAAGCCUGUGAAGGUGUGCUGUGAGGCAUGCUGGAGGUAUCAGAAGUGCGAAUGCUGACAUAAGUAACGAUAAAGCGGGUGAAAAGCCCGCUCGCCGGAAGACCAAGGGUUCCUGUCCAACGUUAAUCGGGGCAGGGUGAGUCGACCCCUAAGGCGAGGCCGAAAGGCGUAGUCGAUGGGAAACAGGUUAAUAUUCCUGUACUUGGUGUUACUGCGAAGGGGGGACGGAGAAGGCUAUGUUGGCCGGGCGACGGUUGUCCCGGUUUAAGCGUGUAGGCUGGUUUUCCAGGCAAAUCCGGAAAAUCAAGGCUGAGGCGUGAUGACGAGGCACUACGGUGCUGAAGCAACAAAUGCCCUGCUUCCAGGAAAAGCCUCUAAGCAUCAGGUAACAUCAAAUCGUACCCCAAACCGACACAGGUGGUCAGGUAGAGAAUACCAAGGCGCUUGAGAGAACUCGGGUGAAGGAACUAGGCAAAAUGGUGCCGUAACUUCGGGAGAAGGCACGCUGAUAUGUAGGUGAAGUCCCUUGCGGAUGGAGCUGAAAUCAGUCGAAGAUACCAGCUGGCUGCAACUGUUUAUUAAAAACACAGCACUGUGCAAACACGAAAGUGGACGUAUACGGUGUGACGCCUGCCCGGUGCCGGAAGGUUAAUUGAUGGGGUCAGCGCAAGCGAAGCUCUUGAUCGAAGCCCCGGUAAACGGCGGCCGUAACUAUAACGGUCCUAAGGUAGCGAAAUUCCUUGUCGGGUAAGUUCCGACCUGCACGAAUGGCGUAAUGAUGGCCAGGCUGUCUCCACCCGAGACUCAGUGAAAUUGAACUCGCUGUGAAGAUGCAGUGUACCCGCGGCAAGACGGAAAGACCCCGUGAACCUUUACUAUAGCUUGACACUGAACAUUGAGCCUUGAUGUGUAGGAUAGGUGGGAGGCUUAGAAGUGUGGACGCCAGUCUGCAUGGAGCCGACCUUGAAAUACCACCCUUUAAUGUUUGAUGUUCUAACGUGGACCCGUAAUCCGGGUUGCGGACAGUGUCUGGUGGGUAGUUUGACUGGGGCGGUCUCCUCCUAAAGAGUAACGGAGGAGCACGAAGGUUGGCUAAUCCUGGUCGGACAUCAGGAGGUUAGUGCAAUGGCAUAAGCCAGCUUGACUGCGAGCGUGACGGCGCGAGCAGGUGCGAAAGCAGGUCAUAGUGAUCCGGUGGUUCUGAAUGGAAGGGCCAUCGCUCAACGGAUAAAAGGUACUCCGGGGAUAACAGGCUGAUACCGCCCAAGAGUUCAUAUCGACGGCGGUGUUUGGCACCUCGAUGUCGGCUCAUCACAUCCUGGGGCUGAAGUAGGUCCCAAGGGUAUGGCUGUUCGCCAUUUAAAGUGGUACGCGAGCUGGGUUUAGAACGUCGUGAGACAGUUCGGUCCCUAUCUGCCGUGGGCGCUGGAGAACUGAGGGGGGCUGCUCCUAGUACGAGAGGACCGGAGUGGACGCAUCACUGGUGUUCGGGUUGUCAUGCCAAUGGCACUGCCCGGUAGCUAAAUGCGGAAGAGAUAAGUGCUGAAAGCAUCUAAGCACGAAACUUGCCCCGAGAUGAGUUCUCCCUGACCCUUUAAGGGUCCUGAAGGAACGUUGAAGACGACGACGUUGAUAGGCCGGGUGUGUAAGCGCAGCGAUGCGUUGAGCUAACCGGUACUAAUGAACCGUGAGGCUUAACCUU
rnacentral:rRNA from 1 species